rnacentral:rRNA from 1 species
CCUACGGGUUGCAGCAGUGGGGAAUAUUGCACAAUGGGCGCAAGCCUGACGCAGCCUUGCCGCGUGUGUGAAGAAGGCCUUCGGGUUGUAAAGCACUUUCAGCGGGGAGGAAGGCGUAAAGGUUAAUAACCUUAGCGAUUGACGUUACCCGCAGAAGAAGCACCGGCUAACUCCGUGCCAGCAGCCGCGGUAAUACGGAGGGUGCAAGCGUUAAUCGGAAUUACUGGGCGUAAAGCGCACGCAGGCGGUCUGUCGAGUCGGAUGUGAAAUCCCCGGGCUCAACCUGGGAUCUGCAUUCGAAACUGGCAGGCCAGAGUCUUGUAGAGGGGGGUAGAAUUCCAGGUGUAGCGGUGAAAUGCGUAGAGAUCUGGAGGAAUACCGGUGGCGAAGGCGGCCCCCUGGACAAAGACUGACGCUCAGGUGCGAAAGCGUGGGGAGCAAACAGGAUUAGAUACCCUCGUAGUC